CCAGCCCAGAGCCCCAGGAACCAGGCAAGCACUCUGUGACCUAAAUGAACUCUUUACUAUUUGCCAGCUGGGCAGGCAGUUCUGUGGUAACCAAGAAGUCCUUCCCAUGGCCUGAGGUCUUGCUGCUUACUAGAAAUCGGACUCCUCUUCUUCCCACAGGAGGCAUCAGCAGCCCUGAAUCUUAUGCAACCCCCCCAAGUCCUCCUCCUGCCACCAACUGUGAGGUAUGUGGCUGGGGCCUGCGGCUGCUGCACACACUGGUCUUCCGAGCUGUCACACUUGUGCUAGUGGCAGGGGAGGCAUUUCAGCUCAGCAUCCUUCAAAGUCAGAAGUCCCAGCAUCACCACAUCUCUUGAAGAGGUGCUUCCUUUGUGUCUGCUCAGCGUCCACCCAACCUCAGGGCAGUUUAUGCUGAUGAUGCAGCGCUCAGUUCUUAGCUUCUUGGCACUUUGUCUUGAAGUGCACGUGGCUGCCUCCACUUCUGCUCCACACGUGACUCCAGCUGAUCUCCUUUGCAUUUCACCAAGAGCACCAAGGCCCUCACCCAUGGAGCACGGUGACUGAGCAACAACGGUGACUGGGUACUUUGUGGCCAUGUGACCUUCACUGCGAUCUGACUCCCUGCUGGAUGAUCACCUCCACCAAGUGACAAGCUUCAUCGGGGACAUCCCUGCCAUAUGUGUGCAAACAGCCGUGCUGGACACAGGGCAGACACCCAGUAAGUGCUUGUUGAAGGAAUGAGUGAAAACUGAAAUUGGGGAUCAUCCUAAUGUGAGAUCAAAUAAAAGGACACAAGCACAGAGUGAGUACUUACUCCCUGAUCACCGGUCAUGGUAUUGCUAACCUUUCCCUGAAUUCCUGGGCCAUCUGUUGCUUUUAAAGUUUUAAAACAAGUCUUCCCAGAAAAGAAACAUGUUCUGUGUUCCACAGCAAGCUAGAAUUUCUGCGGUGAGGGUAUGGCCCCUGUGAAAGCUGAAACUACAAUUGCAUCUGCCUGGAGAACUUUGAGGAGGAGAAGGAGGUGUGACUGGUCUCCAGUAGUCCCCUGCAGGAAUCUGGGUGUGGGGCUGGGAGGCAGCCGUCCCUCCCGCACUUUCUGGAUCAUGCGAGCUGCAGGGUCCACAGUUCUUUCUGAAGAUCUCAUGGGAAAGGUAUUUCAAGCAUGUGCUGAAUACUUGCAAAUCCACAAAUUCUUUGGGAUCCCCUCAGUUCAUUUUUAGAACACUGUGAGCUUCCCUAUUUGGAAAGGACUUGGGAAAGGAGUCCCUGGAUGCCAGGAGUGGCUGUGUGUCAACGGGGAACUAUUUCUUUCUCUUGUAUCAGCUUAAUAAUAGACGUGCUGCAUAGUCAGAGUACAUCGCUAAAUUUAACCUGUGUGUCACAGCUCAGGCAUGGACGAUGAGGUCUCUUACCUGGGAAGGAGCUGGGGCACAAACCAAAGUGUCUCUGGAAUGUGAUGGAGGUGUCCUGGCCUCUCCCUGGCAAGAGACAAGCAUUUGUUUCCACUUGUCGUGGGAACAAAAUCUGGAUUGACUGAAACUGGCUGCUUGGUUCUCUUUGCUAAGGGGCAAAAUAUUUCUCAGUGUGUCUCAUGGAUGCAUGUGAUGAACAGAUCUGAGGAGCAGAGUGCCAGGGCUGAAUGUACCCCAGCAAGGGAAUCUGCAUUGGUAACUAUCGUAAUGCAUACUGGCCUAUGCAGAGCUACAGAUGUGCAUCUGUGCGCAUGUGCAAGGGUUAUAACCUUGCUCCUUUGGGGCCCUUCUUGCCUAGUGGGACAGAGGCCACGCAGGGCCCGGGGGACUCAUCCAAGCCAGGAUCGGCAGUCUGGUUCCAGAGGGUUGAAUGUCAGCACUGCCCAGAAAACAGUCUCUUGCCCCUCCAAUUUCUUUUUGCACUGGUUUGCAGAUAGUUGAUCUGGCCGAUGGUUUGGCCAAUGCCUUUCCCACUCUGAUCCAUACCCUAUUUCUUAGAGUCGACUACGGACAGUUAACACAAUCUUGUGACAGUGGGAGGGGUAUCCUUGGUGAUAGGUGAGGCAAAAGAAGGUCAGCCAAUAGAUCCUGUGUUCCGGAGUCCCCGGGGGCCGCGGUGGGCAGCUGAAGCAAGGAAGGAAAUGGCCAAGGCUCAUGCUUGCUGGAGACCCUUGCUGAAGACACAGCCCAGAUGCACGCUGGUGCUUCUGCCCGUGUGCAGGAUUUGUGCUGGACAAUUCACAGGACGUUUGGGGGUGAUCUCAGCACACUUUCUUAUCCAUGGCACAAAGCCACCUGCUUAUCCAAACAAGAUUGCUUGAGCCCUGAGAGGUGCUGGGCUGUUUUAGGUUCUGGGUACAACAAUAAAGAUCCCUGUGCCCAGGGAGCUGACCGUGCAUUGCAGGAAGGCUGUGCAUUUCCCACUCGUGUUUGAUGUUUCGCUGCGUCCAUUGCAGCCACUCAGCUUUACAAAGGAGCCAUGGAAAACAUGAGCCCAGAGGAGCGUGGCUGUGCUCCAGAAUGACUUCGUCUCUGUGGUGGGUUGCCGCCUGGUCCUCGGGAUCUGUUCUAGGCAGUAGCACACUGAGUCCGGUUCUAGGGCAAAAGAUGGCAGAGAGGCUUCAGGCUCAAGAUGUUCACACCUUGCUGAAGACCGUCAUCCCGAGACUCAUACCAGAACACCUUGUUCCAGCCCAGCUGCUGCCACCUUUCACCUUCAGCAUGCUUGGCAAAUGAGGCCAGCGAGCAAAGUGUGCUGCCAAGUGACAUUUUGUGCUAUGCUGAGCUCUGUGCCUGCAUUUUCAAGUUCCAGCUCCCAGUACCCUCUAAAGUGGCUAUAUUUGGAUAAAGGAUCUUGAAAGGGUGAUUAACAUAAAACAAGGUCCAAAUGCAGUGUGAGUAGUGUCCCACAGCAGAGGAGCUCAGGACACAGAUAGACACAAAAGGGCGACUGAGUGAGGACCCUGGGAGAAGAUGCCAAGGAGGGUGGUUCCAGGGGAAGCCAACCUGGCCAACACCUUGACCUUGACUUCAACCUCUUGGCCUGGAAUGGAGCUGGUGGGGUGUGUGGCCCUCUGUUAUGGCCACUCUACCUGAGUAGAAGGCACCCAGCCCUGAGCACUGGGCUCUAGGGUAACCAGGAUGAAUCAUGAAGUGUCUUUUCCCCAGUCUGCUCUCGCUCUG